UUUUAUUUCAUUUCAAUUUUCAAGGCAAGACAACUAAGGGUUAAUUUAGCCUUGGAAUCUAUCACCAUUCUCCAAAAACCGUCCAUUUAGUAGAAACUUAAAAAGUAAAUAAAAAAAUUAAUUAAAGGAAUAAAAAUGUAAAGUCAUGUUUCGUUCUUAAUCUGAAACAGUAAUAUUGUUCGAAACGUGCAUGCUUCGAUCUCAUGUUACACAAAAGCGCUUUAUUCAGUCACUUCUUGUCGACUUUGGCCGGGGUUCCUUAAAAGAUAAAAUUGGUUCAAAUAGCACACCGACUAAUACAAGGCUUAAUUCUACUACUUAAUUCUUUAUUUACUUAUCGAUCGGGUAGUAUAUUUAUUUAUAUAUAUGCUAUAAGCUUCUA
rnacentral:lncRNA from 1 species